rnacentral:lncRNA from 1 species
UUGAAUUUGAGCUUUCUGUGAAUUUGGUUAUUCAUUCAUAAUUUCCAGUAUACAAGAAGGUGCCUAAUAUAUAGGAUUACAACAGUUGACUUUCUAUCUAUACUAGGUAAUUUAUACAUGACAUCAAUCUGCAUAAUCUCCAUGAUAUGAUCCUAAUAUAAAGUAGAACAUAUUCCUACAAUCAAGGAACCAAUCUUUCCGUUAAUACUCCCCCUCAAGUUGGAGAGUGAAUGUCAUGAACACCCAACUUGCCAAGUAUAGGGUGAAACAUUCCUUGUCCAAGUGACUUAGUAAAUAUGUCAGCAAGUUGAUUGGCAGAGGAAACAUGUGCUGUUGUAAUGGCGCCUGACAGGAUUCGUUCACGAACAAUACGGCAGUCUAUCUCAAUGUGUUUGGUGCGUUCAUGAAACACCGGAUUUGCAGCUAUGUGAAGUGUCGCUUGAUUAUCACAAUAGAGUCAAGCUGGCUUGUGGUGUGUAACCUGCAAGUCUCUUAGUAAAUAUUGCAUCCAUGUGAGCUCACAUGUUAUGGAAGCCAUGGCCCGAUAUUCUGAUUCGGCCGAGGAAUGUGAAACGGUACCUUGUUUCUUAGUUCUCCACGAUACAAGUGCUCUUCCAAGGAAUAUGCAAUAGCUUGUCACUGAUCAUCUCAUUAUGGAACAACGAGCCCAAUCCGCAUCACAAAAACCGGUUAACAACAAGGUGCCUUUGGAUGGAAAGAACAAACCUUGCCCAGGUGACCCUUUCAAAUAUCGUAAGAGACGAUGGACUGCGUCAAGAUGUGGUUUUCUUGGGUGUUGCAUGAAUUGACUCAAAAUGUGUACUGAGUAAGUGAUUUCUGGCCUUGUAAUGGUGAGGUAUAUGAGUCUCCCAACUAGCCGCCGAUAGUAAGAGGCAUUCUUGAGCAGUUCACCAUCCAUGGGCGAGAGCUUGACAUUCUCUUCCAUGGGAAUUUGACCGGCUUUGCCCCAAGUAGGCCUGCUUCGUCCAAUAUAUCUAAUGUGUACUUCCGUUGGGAUAUUGAGAUCCCAGUAGCUGAACGAGCAACCUCAACACCAAGGAAAUAUCGUAAAUGGCCAAAAUCCUUUAUACGGAAUUGGGUGUGAAGGAAAGCUUUAAGACUGGCUAUGGUUGAAUCAUCGUUGCCAGUGAUAAUCAUGUCAUCUACGUAGAUGAGUACCACAGUAAAGGAAUCACCUGAUACCUUUGUGAAUAAUGAGUAGUCGGCCAUGGAUUGCUGGAAGCUAUCUUGGCGAAUUGCAUUGGAGAACUUUUGGAACCAACUCCGGGAUGCCUGCUUAAGGCCAUAAAGGGAUUUGUUGAGUCGACAAACCAUUCGAGUCUCCCCCUGUCGAUGGAGCCCAGGAGGUAAGUGCAUGUAAACUUCCUCAAUUAAGUCACCAUGAAGGAAGGCAUUUUGAACGUGAAUUUGGUGGAGGGACCAAUUGCGAAUAGCGGCAACGGCAAGCAAGCAUCGCACAGUUGUGAGUUUGGCUACGGGAGCAAAAGUCUCUCGGUAAUCAAUUCCCUCACGUUGAGUAAAUCUCUUGGUGACCAAGCGAGCUUUAUAUCUUUCAACAUCUGAGUGGUAUUUGAUUUUAUAAACCCAUUUGCAACUGAUAGCACGAUGGCUAGGAGGCAAGGACGUGAUGGUCCAUGUAUUAUUCUGUUCGAGUGCUAAGAGCUCAGCAGCCAUGUCCUCUCUCCAUUUGGGAUCAUUGUUUUCCUGCUCAAAGGUCACAGGUUCUAUCUGUGUAGUGACAUUACAAAUGAAACGCCUGUAAGGAGUCGAAAGUUGUGCAUAAGAAAGGCAUGUAGAUAAAGGAAACCGCGUACUUGUGGAGGAGGAUGAAGAACUGGGGGCGACAAUGAAUGUAUGGUAGAGGUGGAAAUCGUGAAGUCGAACAUUGGGUUUGGGUACACGUGAAGAAUGCCGAAGUGGGGGGUUUGGUGGUGGUGUAGGCUGCAGGCCAAGUGGUGGAGAGGAUGUCAAUAGGGUGUUUAAGGUAGACGCUGAAGUAGGUGGGGCUAAGGUAGGUGGUGCUAGUGAAGGAGGUAUAUCAAGGGCGGGGAUGAUUGGGGAUGCAGUUACAGGCUCAUGAGGACUUGGCGUGAGGAAGUGUGUAGGGUUGUUAUCAAAGUCUAGGAGUUGUGGUGUGGGAAGACUGUGGCAUCAGGUUGCGACUGAGGUGGUAGAGUUUCAAAAGGGAAUAUAUGUUCGUAGAAAACAACAUCCCUUGAUGAAAAGAAUUUGCAUGUAGUGAGGUCAUAAACCCUAUAUCCCUUUUGACCUAGAGGGUAUCCUACAAAAAUGCAACGACAUGCUCGUUGGUCAAAUUUAUGCAUGGGCAAAAGGUUGGUAGCAUAACAUAGGCACCCAAAGCAACGUAGGUGUGUGUAUGUGGGUGGCAUUUUAUAAAGGAGUUCAUAUGGUGUUUGAUGGGAAAGUAGAGGUGUUGGUAAUCGAUUAAUUAAAUAGCAAGCAGUUUGUAUGCUUUCUCCCCAAAAUUCUAAUGGUAGGUUAGCUUGAAAACGAAGAGCUCGACCGACAUUUAGAAGAUGACGAUGCUUUCUCUCGACAACCCCGUUUUGUUGUGGGGUUGAUGGACAAGAAUGGUGAAAAUUGAUACCUUUGCUCUCAAGGAAUGGAUGCAUGGAGACAAAUUAUGUGCCAUUGUCGGCUCGAAGAGUUUUGAUUAUGCAAUUGAAUUGUGUUUGUACCCAAGAAAUAAAUGAUUGCAAUAGUGUUUGUGUCUCGGAUUUGAAUUUCAUAAGGUGAAUCCAUGUAUAUCUAGUGAAAUCAUCAACAAUUGUUAAGAAAUAACGAGCAUCGGAAUGUGAAUUUAUUUGAUGGGGUCCCCAAAUAUCACAAUGGAUUAAAUCAAAAGGUGCAACUGUAGAAAUAGAACUAGAUGGAAAUGACAAGCGAGUUUGUUUUGCUAAAGGGCAAAUUUCACACACAUGCUUUGAAUCAAAAUGGAUGUCUGGGGUCGUUUUUGAAAGAACUUCGAGGGGUCCAAUGGAUGGGUGUCGUAGUCGUUGGUGCCAGAGGUUGGAAUGGCGGAGGAUGUUGUAGGCGAGCUUAGGGUUCUGUUCUGGUGUGAGGUAAUAGAGGUCGUUAUGUCGUUUGCCCAGGCCAAUCAUCCUCCUUGUAGACACGUCCUGCACAACACAAAAUUCAGGGAAAAAUAUCACUAUGCAGUUUAACGCUCGAGUCAAUUUACUGACAGACAAAAGGUUAACUUUGAACUUAGGCACUUUGAGCACAUGGUCAAGUUUAAGAUUUGGUGUGACUUGGAGUGAACCAAUCGAUUCAAUACUUGUUUGAGUGCCAUCGGGGGUUUGAAUGGUGGCUGUAUGAGGCAAAUAUGAUGGAUUCAGCAAUGGAGAGGAAGCUGUCACAUGAUCCGUCGCUCCACUAUCAAUUAUCCAACCUAAAUGGGAAUGUGGAGCAACCGAAUUCACGUCACAUGAAGGUGUAACAAUAUCUGCAACAUUUGCGAAGUGGUGUGCAUUCCCAUCGUUGUUUUUCUGAAGCAUUGCCAUGAUUUGGUUGUAUUCUUCAGUGGUAAACCUUGGUCUGCAGGUUUGUUUGCGUCUCUCGCAUUUGGAUGAUUGGCAUUGGAACGUCUUUGGUUGGGAGGUUUGACAUUUUUCCCAUGGAACUUGUGGCCUGGAGGGAAACUAUUUAAAUAAUAGCAUGUUUCAAUGCUAUGUCUGUCCUGAUCACAGUAGGAGCAAUGAAGUGGGGUUCUCUUUUUUCUGAGCCUAAUGUGCUUGAUUUGUCAAUUCUCCAUUAUUCGCAGCGUGCAUGGCAUGAUGGCUGAUGCUAUCUCGAUUGUGAGACACUUCAACUUGCUUUUCUUGUUGAGAACGAGAGAAUGAACCCGCCUUGUAUCAGGGAGGGGCUGCAUCAAAAGAAUUUGGCCACGAAUGGCUGAAUAGUUGUCAUUCAAUCCCAUGAGGAAUUGCAUGACUUUUUCCUUAUAUUCUCUCUUCCUGAGUGUUUCCAAUCCUCCAUAAGAACAGGUUGCAGCCUCGUUGUAGGAGGAGAGUUCAUCCCACAUAGCCUUCAAUUUAGUGUAAUAGACAGUAACUGACUGCUGCCCUUGUCUAUGCUCCACGAUAUCCUUCUUUAUUUGGUAAAUCCUUGAGUCGUUUCCUUGAGAGAAACGUUCUCUUAAUUCUUCCCAGACCUUUGCCGCCGUGUUUGUGUACGUGACGCUGUUCCCAAUAUCUGAGUGUACAGAAUUUAGGAUCCAGGAUAUCACCAUGUCGUUGCAGCGCUGCCAUGAAGGAAAGUUUGGAUCGGUUUCUGCUGGUGCUUAGGGUGCGUUUGGUACGCGGGACGGGACGGGACGGAACGGGACGAAGCGUUCCGUCCCGCGUUUGGUGCGCUAAAAAUGGGUGGAACGGGCUGUUCCACGGGACAGAUUUUGGGUGUUUUUGCGUUCCACCUCCUCCCCCUGGAACGGGUUUGUUCCACGUAUGUGGAACACAAUGUUUUACCAUUUUAAGACAAAUAUACCCCAUGUCUUUUUCAAAAAUUACACCUUCGUUCCGUCCCGUCCCGUCCCGUCCCGUCCCGUCCCGUCCCGUCCCGUCUGCGUACCAAACGCACCCAUGUCUCAUGUGAUGAAGCCAAUUUUGUUCUUCUCGCUUAGACUGAUGCGCAUGGCACGACUCCAUGUACUGUAAUUAUCUCCUUCCAGUGGUUUGGAGACAAGAACAAGAUUCGGAUGAUCCGAAUGAUGCAGUGCAUAUGGGUCAGAGAUCUCACUAGAGUUCUCGACUGGUUUGGUCACUGGUUUGCUGGAAGAAAUAGUUGAUUCUGCCAUUCUAUGGUGGCGUUGCUUGUUGGAAGGAAUGUGUGUUGUAAACGCUUGUCGUGGCGGAAGCGUAUUUGGUUUUAGAGUCACCGGGAUCGGUGCUCUGAUACCAUCUUGAAUUUGAGCUUUCUGUGAAUUUGGUUAUUCAUUCAUAAUUUCCAGUAUACAAGAAGGUGCCUAAUAUAUAGGAUUACAACAGUUGACUUUCUAUCUAUACUAGGUAAUUUAUAAAUGAAAUCAAUCUACAUAAUCUCCAUGAUAUGAUCCUAAUAUAAAGCAGAACAUAAUCCUACAAUCAAGGAACCAAUCUUUCCGUUAAUAAAAUCCCAUGGAGGAUAAAGAACUAACCAAUCAAUCGUCCAUAAAUAUUACCGUCUGUGCUAGAAAAUAUCAUGAAUUUUUUUCAUAACACCACCAGAGCUAAGAAAUCCAAUUGGAAAUAGUAUCUACUGAACAUCAAUUAGAAUCCGGGAUAAAUGAUGUUUUACCAACCACUCAAGCAGUUACUAGUCAAAUUCAAAAUUGAUAAACCAACUUGAACACGACCCUUCUGGAGGAAUUUCUAUAUAUCAGCUAGAAAUUCAACUACGCUAGUGGCGCUGAAACAAUGAAGAAUUUCUUAUCUCUCGCUGUCAAUGAAAGAAACUAACAUACAAUAGAGCUUAUAUAAUGAGCUGAAAACACCUUGGCUAAUCAAACAGAAUCUAACUAAUCAAACAUGUGCCGAUAACAGUUCUAACAAUCCCACCUAAUUUGACGGACCACUGUUGACUCUAUUGACUUGCAGGCUAGGAUCCACUCUAUGAUGACUUGAAUGCUUUGACCCUGGGACUUUCUCUUCGGGAUAUAUGUCAAGUUUGAAGCUUUCCACAGACAUAGGUUCAACAACCUUCAAACUGAAACCACUUGCAUGAUUCACGAGCCAAAUAAAAAACCUAUGCAUGACAAGACUAUUAAAUGUACAUAAUGUCAGACUGACACGAUAAAAAAAAAGUAACACAACGGACUUUCUUAUUACUCACAAUCUGCAAAAACUUAAAAGACAGUUACUGUAUUCUAUGGUUGUAAUCAUCGCUACUAAAUAAACGCUCGUACCUGCGGAUCCAUGCAGUUAAAAGUAAACAGAUGUUAUCUCAUAUCCAAGUCAAAUGAUCCACAUCCUGUUCUGUAACUCAAAGAAGUUGACUUCAGUCAAAUUAGCCUAAUCUCACUUAGUUCCUCAAUUACAUUGUUUUUCGUUUUACAGGAUAGUACUAUAUCACAUAUACACACAAGUCUAUGUCCAAGUUUUUAAUUGUAUGUCAGCAACCCUUUAACUGUGUUAUGAAGUAAACUUGAUCAACGGUAUUGUUGGAGCGAAAUUUCCUACAUGAAAAAAUGCCUUCACAGAUUCGUUGACUAUAAUCCUCACUUUUGUUGAAUCGCUUGCAAGAGGCGUCCUCGAACAGUCUUUCUCCAAAGCUUCAUUUAGGUGAGGGUACCUGCAAAAUGUAUUGGCCCAAGCUGGAUUUUAUUCUCCCACAUUACCCCCUUUUCCCCUUUUUAACUGGUGCGUAAAAUAGGAGAAAACUGAAUUUUCAGUUGCUUGAGACCGAUGAAAUAAUAUUCUCUAAGCCAAGCUAAAACUUAAAACCAUUUUGCUAAAGCCAAAUUUGUGAAUGCCACUAUUUUUUUUUUUUUAUUAAGAAAAAAUACCACUUUUUCUAAAGCCAAAUUUACCAAAGCCACAUGACCCUUUCUUUUUUUCUUCGCUUGCAAAAGCCGACACCCUUUUCUUACCCUUGCCUAACUUACAAUGCCGACUGACACACUUAGAAUAACUUACGAAGUCCGACUAACAUUCUUCGCUUAAGUUACGAAAGUUAAUUGACACUCUUUGCCUAACUUACGAAAGCAAAAGCCGACUACACUCUUUGCCUAA